rnacentral:rRNA from 1 species
GACAGAGGAUGCAAGCGUUAUCCAGAAUGAUUGGGCGUAAAGUGUCUGUAGGUAGCUUUUCAAGUCCGCCGUCAAAUCCCAGGCUCAACCUUGGACAGGCGGUGGAAACUACCAAGCUGGAGUACCGUAGGGGCAGAGGGAAUUUCUGUGGAGCGGUGAAAUGCAUAGAGAUCGGGAGGAACACCAGUGGCGAAGGCGGCGACCUGGGCCAAUACUGACGCUGAGGUGCGAAAGCGUGGGGAGCAAACAGG